GACGAACGCUGGCGGCGUGCUUAACACAUGCAAGUCGAACGGAAAGUCCCUGCUUUUGUGGGGUGCUCGAGUGGCGAACGGGUGAGUAACACGUGAGUAACCCGUCCCUGAUAUUGGGAUAACUUCAGGAAACUUGGGCUAAUAUCGGAUAGUAGUUCUUGCUCCACGUUGGGGGAUGGAAAGUUUCGGCGGUUGGGGAUGGACUCGCGGCUUAUCAGCUUGUUGGUGGGGUAGUGGCUUACCAAGGCUUUGACGGGUAGCCGGCCUGAGAGGGUGACCGGGCACCAUGGGACUGGGGUACGGCCCAGUAUCCUACCGGAGGCAGCAGGGGGGAAUAUUGCGCAAUGGGCGGGAGCCUGUGACAGCAACGCCGCGUGCGGGAUAACGUGUUUCGAGUUAUGAACAGCUUUCGCAUGUGACGAGGAGUGAGUGACGGUAAUGAGUGAAGAAGCAACGGCUAACUACGUG
rnacentral:rRNA from 1 species